rnacentral:rRNA from 1 species
UACGUAGGGGGCAAGCGUUAUCCGGAUUUACUGGGCGUAAAGGGGGCGCAGGCGGCGCGCCAAGUCUGAUGUGAAACCCCGGGGCUCAACCCCGGGCAUGCAUUGGAAACUGGCGGGCUGGAGUGCCGGAGAGGCAAGCGGAAUUCCUAGUGUAGCGGUGAAAUGCGUAGAUAUUAGGAGGAACACCAGUGGCGAAGGCGGCUUACUGGACGGCAACUGACGCUGAGGCUCGAAAGCGUGGGGAGCAAACAGG